UACAGAGGUCCCAAGCGUUGUUCGGAUUCAUUGGGCGUAAAGGGCGCGUAGGCGGUCAGCACAAGUCAGUUGUGAAAUCUCCGGGCUUAACCCGGAAAGGUCAACUGAUACUGUGCGACUAGAGUGCGGAAGGGGCAACUGGAAUUCUCGGUGUAGCGGUGAAAUGCGUAGAUAUCGAGAGGAACACCUGCGGCGAAGGCGGGUUGCUGGGCCGACACUGACGCUGAUGCGCGAAAGCCAGGGGAGCGAACGGG
rnacentral:rRNA from 1 species